GAUGAACGCUGGCGGCGUGCCUAAUACAUGCAAGUCGAGCGAACGGACGAGAAGCUUGCUUCUCUGAUGUUAGCGGCGGACGGGUGAGUAACACGUGGAUAACCUACCUAUAAGACUGGGAUAACUUCGGGAAACCGGAGCUAAUACCGGAUAAUAUUUUGAACCGCAUGGUUCAAAAGUGAAAGACGGUCUUGCUGUCACUUAUAGAUGGAUCCGCGCUGCAUUAGCUAGUUGGUAAGGUAACGGCUUACCAAGGCAACGAUGCAUAGCCGACCUGAGAGGGUGAUCCGCCACACUGGAACUGAGACACGGUCCAGACUCCUACGGGAGGCAGCAGUAGGGAAUCUUCCGCAAUGGGCGAAAGCCUGACGGAGCAACGCCGCGUGAGUGAUGAAGGUCUUCGGAUCGUAAAACUCUGUUAUUAGGGAAGAGCAUAUGUGUAAGUAACUGUGCACAUCUUGACGGUACCUAAUCAGAAAGCCACGGCUAACUACGUG
rnacentral:rRNA from 1 species